rnacentral:tRNA from 1 species
GGAAGGGUCGCAUAGUUGGUCUAGUGCGUACGCCUGGAAAGCGUAUGUGGCAGCAAUGCUACCGCGGGUUCGAAUCCCGCCCCUUCCG